CUAGAAAUAAGACAUUUUGACUUGAAAUAAGACAAAUAAUCUUGGUAAGAUUUUGCGUUUUUGCAGUGUGGUGCAGCAGCCGGGCAGAAGUCUGUUCUGCUCGCUCCGGUUCUACAGUCGCAGUCCUGUGUCUUCUGGAUGCUCAGUGAAUUUUACUUGCGCAACUUCCUGAGGUGAAGCUUAUUAACGUCGGCAGGUUGUAAUCCUUGCUAAAAAUGUUAGGGCUAGAAGUUAACAUCAGGUUCUAACUUUUUUUUUUUUUUUUUUUUUUUGUCUGUGUCGUUCUCUUUAGCGUUCUGAUCAGCGGCCGCCUGCUGCAGGCCGCACUUAAACUGAUGGGUCCAUGUUUGGUACAUGUCGGCAUGAACUAGGUUUUUUUUUUUUUUUUUUUUUUCAAAAUUUUUAAAGUGAUUAUUGUCAUUAUAUCUGUAUUUUUAGCUCUGAUAAUAUUUUUAAUCCUAUUGAAUGUUUUUCCAUCAUUGUGUGUUUUUUUUUUUUUUUGUUAGUUUGUUUUGUUUUAUUUGAGCUCGUUGUGUAUUCGAUUCACAGUUGAACUGGAUGCAGCCUCACCAGCUGACGAGACAUUUCUCUGGGAUUGUAAAUGAUGACAUUUAAAUAACUUUAGAUUUGCGUCCACACACACACAGCUGAAUCGAAGGCAGCUGGGCUGGUUUGGAGAUUCUCAGAGACGUUUCGCUUCUUCAGUUCUGACUCCACCGACACUGAACGCAGUCGUCACAGCAGAGAUGAGGUUAUUUCAGUGUCGGGGAGAGCGUCUCCACGUGGCUUCAACACCCGGGACUCCCCUCCCGUCCGUCGGAGCUGAAGAAGCUUCACGGAAACGAAGCGAAACGUCUCCAAGCGUCUAAAACAGUCCAGCUGACCUGGAUCCAGCUCUGUGGAGAACCAUGACCUGGAUGGCUGAGGACCUCCUCAGACAGCAUCCGGUCAGCAGUGUUGGCACUGACACGACUUACUGACUGUUACACAGCCUGAACGAUUUGAACCACCACACAAAUAAAGGAGUUAAUUAGAUUUUAGAAAGGUGGUACAGCCAACUUUGCUCACUGCCAUUAGUUUGAGCUCCUAAAGAAAAGAAACGGUGCAGGGGAACUAAAGAUUCCACAACAUAAAAUCAGAAUCCGUCCGUUUUGAACCGGGUUUCGACCAACACACUCCUGUGAAGGAUGUGUUGACAUGAGGGAGGAUCAGAAAGCGGCACGGGGCUUUUCCGGUUGUGUUAUUGUUGUGAGAUGUCAUCCAUCCAUAACUCUCCUCAUUUUUUUUCUCCUUUCUGUUAUGACGGUAUGAGCGGUUGAAUUUUGCACCGCCUGCGGUCACACAUACGUUCUGAUCACGGCACAGAAACAGAGAUGUUGAAAUUCCUCCCAUCGCUCGAGAGUUAUUUUUUCUUCCUCUGAUGUGAAAAUAGGGCAGGUCACUGCUCGAGGCUGAAUUUUGGAGAAAGUACUCUUUGCGAGAGGGAGUGCAGAGCCUGAGUUUGGAAGUCCGGAGUGACUGAGUGAGCUGAUUUCCACUGCUGUCAUUUCAUUUUGCCGAGGCAGCUAAUGCAGAGAGAGCCCAGAUGUGUUUGGUGGUUCGCUCCUGAGGGCAGAGGGAAGGAGGGAACCAACCACAGCUGGCAGAGUCUGUGAGAGGCUGCUAAUGUGAGGAAUAUGAGAUUCAUUUAAAUAUUCAAAUUGGUUGGAUUCGGUUCCUUUUAGGACAGUUAGGUGAUUGGGAUCAAACUGUUCAAACUUUGACUUUUUGUUGACCUCAUUUGGGAGACGGAAAAAAAGCUUAAAGGUCCAAACUGUGAGAUGAGAGAAAGGGUCCAGGGUUCAGUCACCUUACGAGCGUCACCUUACGUUACCAUGCCAACUGCCUGGUUUCUGUUCAUCCCACUGAGAUGAUGACGAUUUUCCUCUCAAAUUGAGUUAAGGAGCGCUGAGACACACUCAUUUCUAGAGCUUCCACCGGCCGGUCCAGCCAGAAAUACCUUAACAUUACGGAGGAGGGUUAGGGCUACACAAAACUUUAAAAAACUGAGAUUAACGUCUCAAUUCUGAGAUUGUGACUUUUUUGCGCAAUUCCAGUCUCUGAUUAUUCUUGCUGUGCAGAGGUUGGUUCAAAUCAAUAUCGUGUUCCUCGGUGACCAGAAAGUCAGUUCAAGCCUCUGAAUCAUUUAGUAAAUAUGACAAAUUGCUCAUGUUAGACGUGAGGAGACACUUUAAGUUGAUGCUAAGUCACAAAAUGUUUGAAUAUGUCAGAGUGUUCUGUAAAACAGUUUGAUUUUGUUUUAACUUUAGUUGUUAACUCUGUUUUACUUAUUAAUGUUUUGAUGAUCAGGCUGUUCUCUGAUUACUUUCUCACUGCUAACGAACUGCAAAACAUUUUUCCUGGGAGAAACUGAGGCCUGUCAGGCGUCUUUGUGGACUUUGUGAUCUCGUCUGUGUGGUUUUAGGGCCCAAAAUGCCUCUUUUACAUGUGACAGUAAAUCAUAUAUUUCCUGAAUCCUUGGA